GGGGGCGUGGUGAAAUGGUAUCAUGGAAAUCUCCAAAAUUUUCGGUCUAGGUUCGAUUCCUAGCGCCCCCG
rnacentral:tRNA from 1 species